rnacentral:rRNA from 1 species
GAUGAACGCUGGCGGCGUGCCUAAUACAUGCAAGUCGAGCGAACAGACGAGGAGCUUGCUCCUCUGACGUUAGCGGCGGACGGGUGAGUAACACGUGGAUAACCUACCUAUAAGACUGGGAUAACUUCGGGAAACCGGAGCUAAUACCGGAUAAUAUAUUGAACCGCAUGGUUCAAUAGUGAAAGACGGUUUUGCUGUCACUUAUAGAUGGAUCCGCGCCGCAUUAGCUAGUUGGUAAGGUAACGGCUUACCAAGGCAACGAUGCGUAGCCGACCUGAGAGGGGGAUCGCCCACACUGGAACUGAGACACGGUCCAGACUCCUACGGGAGGCAGCAGUAGGGAAUCUUCCGCAAUGGGCGAAAGCCUGACGGAGCAACGCCGCGUGAGUGAUGAAGGUCUUCGGAUCGUAAAACUCUGUUAUUAGGGAAGAACAAAUGUGUAAGUAACUAUGCACGUCUUGACGGUACCUAAUCAGAAAGCCACGGCUAACUACGUG